rnacentral:rRNA from 1 species
AACGUAGGUGGCGAGCGUUAUCCGGAUUUACUGGGCGUAAAGCGUGUGCAGGCGGGUAGUUAAGUGAUGUAUGAAAGCUCUGCGCUCAACGUAGGGAAGCUAUGUCAUACUGGCUAUCUGGAGUAUCGGAGAGGGAUGUGGAAUUCCGGGUGUAGUGGUGAAAUGCGUAGAGAUCCGGAGGAACACCAGAGGCGAAGGCGGCAUCCUAGACGAUAACUGACGCUCAGACACGACAGCACGGGGAGCGAACGGG